UUUUUGUUGCAGGGCACCAGUCGGAGGGAUCGCGUGGGGGGCACCGCUUAGGCGUCCUCCCUAUGGUAGAUUAUGUUGGUAGAGCUUGCUGCAUCCGGGUCGAGAGUGCGCUCCCCGGUCCCGUGGGGCUGGCAGCACACACCUCGCUGUUGGCGGCGCCGGCUAUUUUGACGAGUUUUUUUGUUGCUGUUUCUUUUUUUUUAUGGCUGACGUCGUUUUUCAGCUUUUACGACAUACGCUUUUUUAAAACGCAGCAUACUUUCGAGUUUAAUCCUGUUUGCGUUCAAUAGUUUUACACAGAAAAGUAAAACAAAACAACACAGAAAAUGAAAAUCGACAGCGAUUGUCUUUCCUGCAAUCCUCGCUCAAUAAAUUGCAUUGGUUUUAU